UACGGGGGGGCAAGCGUUGUUCGGAAUUACUGGGCGUAAAGGGCUCGUAGGCGGCCAACUAAGUCAGACGUGAAAUCCCUCGGCUUAACCGGGGAACUGCGUCUGAUACUGGAUGGCUUGAGUUUGGGAGAGGGAUGCGGAAUUCCAGGUGUAGCGGUGAAAUGCGUAGAUAUCGGAAGGAACACCAGUGGCGAAAGCGGCUCCUGGUCCAGCACCGACGUCAGGCACGAAAGCGUGGGGAGCAAACAGG
rnacentral:rRNA from 1 species